rnacentral:lncRNA from 1 species
AUUCUCGGGAUAUCACCAUAUGUGUGAAGACACUCUUAGUGCUUUAUUAGCUCAUACUCAACUGUUUUUUUUUUAAAGGUUUUGCAAUUUAUUCUUUGAAAGAAAAUUCUUUGAAAGAAAAUUAAAAUUUAUUUUCAGAAUAGGCAUGAUGGUUUGUGCAUAUAAUCCCAGUACUAUGGAAACUGAGACAGGAGGGUUGCUCUGUAUUUAACUUAGACCAAAGAAAUGAAACCAUUUAAAACCAAACUAGCCAAAGCUGAAUAGCAAGGCCCUGCUACAAAACAAAAUUAAAAUUAAAAAAAGGAGAGAAUCCUUGCCUGGUGUAGGGGUAUAUACGUGUAGUCCCAGAUCCGAGGGAAGGUGAGCAGGAGGGUCGUUGGGUUUUCAAGCCAUGGAUAGAGUUUGAUGGUAUCUCAGACUCUAUAACAAAGCAAAACCAAAAUAUUCUAACCUAGUUGACUAGGUUAGAAGGAAGUCUAAUAAAAAAGCCUCACUUUUUGCCGAUUACUAGAGAAACAGAAAACAAAAUUCCAGGUUCUUUUUGCAGUUUGUCUCCUGAAAUAUCUGACACAGGAUGCAAUGUACUAUGACC